GUAAAACCAAGUAUAACAAAGGGGCUACUAGGGAUGACUAGGCAAUGGAUCGGAAUGAGGUCUAAUCCAAACUGUCGAAUCCGAUCAAGGGUAUGUUAAUCAACCCGGUCUCGACGAUCAAGGCCAAAAGGUGCCUCACUUACCUUGGGAACUGAAACAUCUUAUGUACCAAGAGGAAAGGAAAUCAACCGAGACUCUACAAGUAGUGGCGAGCGAACGUAGACAAGCUAUCUCUAUCAACUUAGACAACCUCUGUUUACGUUUAUGCGUAGCAGCAGGAAAAUGGUAGCCUUCGGACAAAGACAUAAACAAUAGCUUGGAAUAGCUAGCCACAGAUGGUGAUAGCCCAGUGAUGAUAUGACUUUGCUCCCUUUUGGCAGUGAAUUUAAUUCCUUAGAGAGAAUUGGCGGCUUGUCAAGCUGCUUUUAUAAUACCCUGUCUAUUAAGGCAGGAAAGGUGUACCAUCAUCAAAGCUAAGUAUGUUCCAUUGACCGAUAGUGCAGAGUACCGUGAGGGAAUGUUGAAAAAGCAGGUAGUAAACUGGUGAAAAGCCUGAACUAGUGGCUCCAUAAGCAGCUGGAAUCACAACAGCCAUUGACUCCAACUCAAUGUGUGAUGACAGCGUACCUUUUGUAUAAUGGGUCAGCAAGAUGAUGGUGGGUGCAUGGUAAUACACCCUAGCAAAAGCGACCUUAAUUAGCCGGUGAUAGUACCAACCAUCAGACCCGAACCCAGGUGAUCUUGCCAUGGCCAAGUGCUAUUUAAUAAGACUGAACGGGUGUCCGUCCGUUGCAAGGGACUCCGAAGAGCUGUGGCAAGGGGUGAAAAGCCAAUCUAACCUGGAGAUAGCUGGUCUUCUGCGAAACCCGUUUUAGCGGGUCGCCCAUUUAUUGAAAUUAAAUUCGUUACUAGACGGUACGGCACUGGAAGCCACGCAGCUUUUGCUGCAUAAUCGGGGGGCUGUCAUGGCUCUAUCGAUGGCUUCUAACCCCGGAAAUGUAUAGUAUACAAUGAUGGGCAAUCAGACGUAUCGUGAUAAGGCGAUUCGUCAAAAGGGCAACAGCCCAGAACAGGUGUGAAGGUCCCUAACAAGCUACUGAGUGAACACAAGGCAGUCCUCUCCAGUGUCUCUCCACAAAGUGGGCUUGGUGGAAGCAGCCACCUUUUAGCGAUAGCGUAACAGCUCAGUGGUCUGAGCCUCCCUGUAAAAAGGGAAUAUUGCCUGGUGAGGGCGCCAAAAAUGUAACGGGUCUAUAGUAGUUGUCUCUCUGUUCCAGCUUUGGAUAUGGAGGGAGUGGCAGUUUCUUCACUGUCUCACCGAAACCCUGUCCUAGAUGUAAAAUUCUAGGGGUAGCAGAAUACCCAGCAAAUGGAAUGAAGCUUGCUCAUUGAGCCGGUGGACAUAGCUGGGCUAAGAAUGCUGACAUGAGUAGCCUAAAAGGAGGGUAAUUCCCUCUUCGCCGAAAGCAGAAGGGUUUCAUUUGUAAGGUCUAUACCUAGAUGAUUAAAGCAGCGGCCUCUAAGGUUCAGAGUAACAAAUUAGUUCCGAUGAGUAACUCUUCUAUAGGGCAGUAACCUUCCUUAUAAGUUUACCUUCAAGUAAUUAGAGGUAUACUUCAAAGAGUAAGGUUCGGGAAAGAGCCCUACAGAAUCAAUCUUAAAACCGUACCCUAAACCGACACAGGUCUGCAAGUAGAGCAUACUAAGGCGUAGAGAUAAUCGUCUUGAAGGAACUCGGCAAAAUGACCCCGUAACUUCGGGAGAAGGGGUGCCACUAAUAAGUGGCGGCACUAAACAGGGGGGCGCGACUGUUUACUUAAAACACCGGACUCUGCUAACACUAGCGUGGAUGUAUAGAGUCUGAUACCUGCCCGAUGCUAGAUGAUCAACUAAGCCGUUUUAGGAUGGCAAAGGAAGCUCUAGUCAAUGGCGGCUGUAACCUUGACGGUCCUAAGGUAGCGAAAUUCAGCGAAAUUCCUUGGCAUUUAAAUGAUGUCCCGCAUGAAAGGUUUAAUUAACGAAGCUCCCACUGUCUCCAAGACGAGCUCGGCGAAAUUGAAUUAUCCGUGAAGAUGCGGAUUACCUCCAGCUAGACGAGAAGACCCUUUGAAGCUUGACUGCAACUAGUUAGUGUGUAACCGCUACUAAGGUACAAAGGGAGUCGACUAGACGAGAUACCUUGAUCUUUGUAGUAGGUUUCACUAUAAAUGCUGGCUAGUAGGCAGUUUGUCUGGGGCGGCAAUCCUCACCUAAAGUAACUGAGGAGUCCGAAGGUGUGCUUUGCUAGGUUGGAAACCUCUCUAUGGCUAUGGUGAGCCUAAAUAAGCGCAAUGGUAUAAGCAUGCUUGACUGUGAGACCUACAAGUCUAUCAGGUAAAACCCUUUCUAUUUACCCCUUCAUAUAUCAGGUCUCUCACGGCUAAAGUUAACCUUACCUUCUUUCUUAUUUCAUCACUUGUUAGCCUUGGUUCACAGUGCAGCGCACUUGUGGAACAAGUUUGUUUUGUUUAAAGUAGUAAAGGAAUGGAAGAAGGGGUAAUUAGGUAUAAAGGGUAUAGGUAACUAGGGCAUAGUGACCCGGUGAUACAUCAUGGAAUGUUCAUCGAUCAACGGAUAAAAGCUACUCAAGGGAUAACAGGCUGAUCCUCCACGAGAGUCCAUAUUGACUGGGGGGGUUGGCACCUCGUAUUAACGCACAAUCACACCAAACUUAGAAGUAAGUUAAAAGUCAUUUUAAAAAUAACACAAAGCGAUGUCGGCUCAUCCUAUCCUAGAGCAGUAUAAGGUUCUAAGGGUUCGGCUGUUCGCCGAGUAAAAGGGUACGUGAGCUGGGUUAAGUACGACGCGAGUCAGUACGGCUUCUAUCUACUGGAGGGAGUUGGAAGUAAGGAGGAAGCUAUUUUUAGUACGCGAGGACUUAAAUGGAGUGACCUCUGGUUUACCAGUUAUCAACAGCUAAUAAAGCUAUGGUAUGGCUGGAAAGCUACGUCACGAAUAGAUAACUGCUGAAACCAUAUCAAGCAGGAAACUACUCCUCUAUACUUCCUUUGAAACUUAGGGUAGACCACCCUAUUGAUAGGGCCUGGGUGUAAUAGCAGUAAUGCUUUUAGCCUCGGGUUACUAAUUGUUAAGCAACUUGGUUUUAC
rnacentral:rRNA from 1 species